CAGCCGCCGCGGUAAUGCGUAGGUGGCAAGCGUUGUCCGGAAUUAUUGGGCGUAAAGGGCUCGCAGGCGGUUUCUUAAGUCUGAUGUGAAAGCCCCCGGCUCAACCGGGGAGGGUCAUUGGAAACUGGGAAACUUGAGUGCAGAAGAGGAGAGUGGAAUUCCACGUGUAGCGGUUAAAUGCGUAGAGAUGUGGAGGAACACCAGUGGCGAAGGCGACUCUCUGGUCUGUAACUGACGCUGAGGAGCGAAAGCGUGGGGAGCGAACAGGAUUAGAUACCCGCGUAGUCCCUGUCUCUUAUAC
rnacentral:rRNA from 1 species